rnacentral:rRNA from 1 species
AACGUAGGAGACAAACGUUAUCCGGAGUUACUGGGCGUAAAGGGCGUGUAGGUGGUUUCGUAAGUCUGGCGUGAAAUAUCUCGGCUUAACCGAGGCAGGUCGUCGGAUACUGCGGGACUAGAGGACGGUAGAGGCGUGUGAAAUUCCGGGUGUAGUGGUGAAAUGCGUAGAGAUCCGGAGGAACACCGGUGGCGAAGGCGGCUUCUGGUCUGUAACUGACGCUGAGGCGCGAAAGCGUGGGGAGCAAACAGG